ACGGAAGGCAGCAGUAGGGAGUUUUCGGCAAUGGGCGAAAGCCUGACCGAGCAACGCCGCGUGAGUGAUGAAGGUCUUCGGAUUGUAAAGCUCUGUUACGAGGGAUGAACACCAUCCAUAGGAAAUGAUGGGUGGGAGGACGGUACCUCGCCAGAAAGUGACGGCUAACUACGUGCCAGCAGCCGCGGUAAUACGUAGGUCACGAGCGUUAUCCGGAAUUAUUGGGCGUAAAGAGUGAGCAGGCGGCGUCGUAAGUCUGGAGUGAAAGCGUGGGGCUCAACCCCAUCAAGCUUUGGAAACUGCGAUGCUAGAGUACGUCAGAGGUAAACGGAACUCCGUGUGUAGCGGUGAAAUGCGUAGAUAUACGGAAGAACACCAGUGGCAAAGGCGGUUUACCAGGACGAUACUGACGCUCAGUCACGAAAGCGUGGGGAGCAAAUAGGAUUAGAUACCCUGGUA
rnacentral:rRNA from 1 species